rnacentral:rRNA from 1 species
UUGGAGGGCAAGUCUGGUGCCAGCAGCCGCGGUAAUUCCAGCUCCAAUAGCGUAUAUUAAAGUUGUUGCAGUUAAAAAGCUCGUAGUUGAAUUUCGGGGUCAGUAGGUUGGUCAUGCCACUGGUAUGUACUGGUCUCACUGAUUCCUCCUUCCUGAUGAGCCGUAAUGCCAUUAAUUUGGUGUUGCGAGGAAUCUGACUGUUACUUUGAAAAAAUUAGAGUGUUUAAAGCAGGCUAACGCUUGAAUACAUUAGCAUGGAAUAAUGAAAUAGGACGUUCGAUCUUAUUUUGUUGGUUUCUAAGAUUGACGUAAUGAUUAAUAGGGAUAGUUGGGGGCAUUAGUAUUCAAUUGUCAGAGGUGAAAUUCUUGGAUUUAUUGAAGACUAACUACUGCGAAAGCAUUUGCCAAGGAUGUUUUCAUUAAUCAAGAACGAAAGUUAGGGGAUCGAAGACGAUCAGAUACCGUCGUAGUCUUAACCAUAAACUAUGCCGACUAGGGAUCGGAUGAUGUUAAUUUUUUAAUGACUCAUUCGGCGCCUUACGGGAAACCAAAGUGUUUGGGUUC